rnacentral:rRNA from 1 species
UACGUAGGCAGCAAGCGUUGUUCGGAAUUACUGGGCGUAAAGGGCUCGUAGGCGGCCAACUAAGUCGGAUGUGAAAUCCCCAGGCUUAACCUGGGAACUGCAUCCGAUACUGGAUGGCUUGAAUCCGGGAGAGGGAUGCAGAAUUCCAGGUGUAGCGGUGAAAUGCGUAGAUAUCUGGAGGAAUACCGGUGGCGAAGGCGGCAUCCUGGACCGGCAUUGACGCUGAUGAGCGAAAGCUAGGGGAGCAAACGGG